UAUAAGAGAAAAGGGUUUUGCCACGCAACCUGAGGACUAUUGGGACCCCCCUCUUCAAUUGUGCUCCUUAGGAUCACACACAUACAUGUUCCAGUGGCAGUCCAGUCAGUUGAACUUUAUAGGCUUGAUAUCUGAUUUCUCUCUGGCAGCUGACUCAAAACGAAAGAACAGUCUGAACAUCACAACAGGUUUCUCAUUUCUUCUGAAAUAAUUCAUCAUGAGACUCCCAGAACAUUUCAAGCACAAGUUGUAUCAAGUAAGGGGCUUCAGUUUAAAGCUAGGACUAGGAUUUGAAGGAUGUGUAGGCAACCCGGGUUGCCGGGGGAAGAAAAACGGAACUGGAUUCACUCUGGCUGGAGAAGAAGAGAAAGGCUGGAGCGCGGGGGCUGGCAGGGGUGGGGUGCGCGAGAGAAGAGCAUCCGAGCAUCUGCAAGUGCCGCCGUCCGGGGGAAAGUGCUCCAAGCCCCCGAGGAGGCCGAGCUGGGACGGAGGAGCCCCCGCGGACUUGGUCUUCCUUCUGCCAAUCAAACGCCCUCCGAGCCAAGAGCCCAAAGUGGAGUGGCAGAAAUCUGUUGCCAAACCAUUGGAGAUGCAAGGAGCUCUUCAGCCUUCGGCAUGGAAUUGAAUCGAGACAUAUUGGAGAUGCCCUGGAGCACAGUGGGGCAGGAUGACAACAGCAAACUGUUGGCGGUAAGGGAUCAGCUCUCUCUCUCUCCCCCCUCCCCAAAUCGUGGAGCUGAAAAUGUGCGCCCGAGGGAGAGGAAUCUGAACAAAAAUGCCAAACCGGAGCCCUUCCGACUCCUGGGUUGCUGCCGCCACCCACUCACUCCUCUGGCCCCUGCCCGUCUCUUUCCUCGCAUCGUCUUAGUAGCCCAGGCUGCCCAUCCCCAAACUUGAAGGUGCCAAAUUACGUUACUGCUGGCGUCGGAAGCCCCUUUCGGAUCCGUGACAGCUGAGCUCUCCUUAUCGAUUAUGUGACAGUGCGCUUCAUCGGCGCAGCCCCAGAAGCUGCCGUUUGGACAAGUCAGCCUCUCAGAGAAGCGACUCCACUUCCUGUAGGCCCUGGAACCUGAUCGAUCAGAUUUUAAUGCGGAGAGACACUCCCGAGCCGGUCGCCGAACGGGUCCAGGCAGCGUCUGCUUCCCGCCUGACCUGGCCAGACAACCGCCUUGAAGCAAGAGGUCAAGGCGAGCAGGCGCCCGGAAAGACAAAAACCGUCUCGACUAAGCGCUGCCCAGGGGGUGUGGGUGGGGAGGCUGUAGGAGCAAUCGGGACCCCAUAGGUGUGAGGGGGAAUAUUCUCUGUGGCUUGAGUGGGCCUGGGCACCACCCAUAAUAUGCGUCCCCGAGGGCUGAAGAUGGUUGCGCAGGCUCAGUUCCCUACAAGGUGGCAUUGGCCAUAUUUUGACAGCAGGCUGGCACUGGCUCCUCCAUUCGAUAAGGUUGAUGCGGAAAUAAAACUCAUCUAGCAUCUAAUCCAGGCAUAGGCAAACUUGGCCCUCCAGAUGUUUUGGGACUACAACUCCCAUAAUCCCUAGCUAACAGGAACAGUGGUCAGGGAUGAUGGGAAUUGUAGUCCCAAAACAUCUGGAGGGCCGAGUUUGCCUAUGCGUCAUCUAAUCGCACCCCAGCAAUUGGUUUCCGAAGAGCAGCGCAUCUGAGUAGGAAGGCUGCUCUUAUGGAACUUGCCUUUUCCAAGCCUGAUACGUUUCUAAGGUUUGUAUGAGGCCUGUUCCCGCAUCACACUGAACACAAGAUGCAAGUGGUCUGUAGACACGUACAAGUGUUUGUGUGAAAGAACGUUCAUUUGAUCUGUAAGGUUCCGCUAUUGUGUCCACAGGUACACAGACUGUGCACUCUUGAACGUUACGUGUGAAUCGCUGUACAGGUGCGGAGCUCAGCUCAAUGACUUAUAUCCGGUUGAUACAUUCGUAUCAUCUAGCACAGGCAUCCCCAGACUUCGGCCCUCCAGAUGUUUUGGACUACAAUUCCCAUCUUCCCCGACCACUGGUCCUGUUAGCUAGGGAUCAUGGGAGUUGUAGGCCAAAACAUCUGGAGGGCCGCAGUUUGGGGAUGCCUGAUCUAGCAUCUUAUAUGGGCAUCCCUGUGCACAGGGCAAGUGUGCUUCUGCCUGUCCCUUUCCAUAGGAUGGGCAGACAGAGGGACCAAGCACUCGCAAUGGCUCUCUCCUUCUUGCUCUACAGUAUCUUGUUUCUCAAGGCCUUCCUGGCGAGACCGUGGACAAGAUGGACCCAGCAAGAUUUCAGCUGGAUAAUGGGACGUGGGUUGACAAAUAUGAUUUUUUAAAAGGGUGUUGGGAGCGAGUUGCGAAAAGCAGGCAAAGCCCUAUAAGUAGGUGGGGAAUCACAACCCACUGACUAGGGCUAAGCAAAGUCGAAGCGAGUUUAUUUCAGGACUGCAGGACAUUCCGAGUUGGUGAUAAACAAGGAAUUGACUUACAACACCCCCGGCAAAGCGAAAAGCUUAGAUGGCCAGUCGCUUGUGCAGCAGAAUCCUGAACAAUACACCUUAUUGCAAGCCAUAGCUCCUUCAGGUGUAUUUAAGACCUCGGCUUUAAGAUGCUAACGUGCCCGGCCUAUGUUUGCUGAGCUGGUUGGGUUCCAGACUCGUGGGGUUUGUUCGUGUAUAGGAUUGUGGCGUCAUUUUUGUCUAACGCCCUAUUCGCAUGUGUGUGAGAGAGGAAGGGGGAGAGAGCAAACGGAAUACACAGACAAACGCGUUGAUUUGGAAGUAAGUCCCGCUACUUUCUGUGUCGCUUACUCCCGGGUUAAGGGGCACAAGGUUGCAGCCUGAAACAUCCAUAUACAAGCGCUUAUUAUUUCCAAAGAAGUUUCGUUGACUCAAUAAGAUCUGCUUCUAAUGCAAUAACAUUUAGAAAAGGGCGUAAAGGACGUGCAAAACUGCCUUUCCUAUCCUUCUGGAUAAACACGACGUGUGGCAUUAGCGAUGUUAUACGACACGCGUGUUCGCAUACGAAUUGUUUGUGCACUUGCACGUUUUACCUUUCAUCCGCUGAAUAUGCUUCUUAACUCCUUAGUAAGGCGCUUGAGGAGGGAUCUCACCCUUCGUGACAGAGAAUCGGUGACACUUGGAUCCUAAAUCCUAUACUCUUAAAAGCAAUUCAAUUAUUUCAGUGAAACCUACCUCCAAGUAAUGGACAUAGAGAGGGUGUGUGUGUAUUGUUAAUUCUGCUCAGAGUACACCCAUGACUAACUUAAACCCAUUAAUUUCAGGGAGGUCUUCCCCGAGCAUGACUUUUAGGGUUGCUUCUGUGGGCUGGCACCCUUACCCAUCAGCCAGUCCCUGAGCUCAGCUGUGGCUUCCUGGGCCCCCUCCAGCUUGGGAGGGAAGUGCCCGGAGUCUGCUUUGCAGCGCCAACUCUUUGGGGCCGGAAGGGAGAGCCUCUCCCACCAACACGUGUCCCCAAUGAUAUUAUACCUCUGCGCAGAUUUUCACUGUAAGCCCAUCUUGGUUGAAAAGCCGGGGGCUCAAACGAAACAAAUAAGCAAAGUCAACCAAGCUGAGAGUCGACUCCUACCUAACCCUAAACACAACGGGCGUGGGGAGUUUUUCGCUGCUCCUUUUCGUUUGCGCAGAACUGACCCGAUUGCUUUUUGUUUAAAAACCUAUUUCCACACUUCCGCGCUCUGCUACAAGGUGACCACCAUUAGGAUGUUACGAAUCACCUGCUUGUUAGUCAACAAGAAAUUGGAGGGAGGGGAGUGACCCACCCCAAUUAAAAAGCGAUUCGUUACCCAAAGGAAGCCCGCAGCCAACCUCUCUGUUUUCCCCCACACUGAAGGCAGAGCCCCGAAAUUUUAAAAAUGAUUUUAAUUAAGGUUGAUGAGAAGACCAGAUCUGCCUAUGAGGUGAGGCCAUUAAUCCGGCUUCUGGAGCCGGGGGCUCCCCCGCAGAAGGUCUCCAAGUGGGGGGCGCCCCCCUGCCUGCCCGCCGCCUUCUCCUUCUCCCUUCCAGCAGAGGUUUCAUUACUUGCCGUUAGUGCCUGAAAACAAUGAAGGAUGUCGAACUGGGCUUUUAUUGAUUAUUUGUCACCCUGUAUUUGUCAGUUUCAAUCACUUUCCCCCCCUGAAGUUUUACUUACGGGCACUUGAGUUUUCGGAUUAGCGCAGCUCUGAGGAUUGAAGGGAGGGGGUUGCAAUUUUCCGCUGGCCUGCUUCCCCCUCCCGAGAGAACAGGAGAGUGGUGAGAAACAAGGGGAGGGGAUUCGAGGUUGGCGCAGGCAUUAAUGUACAGAAGCGUUAAUCGGUCCUCACUCAAAAGCGGAGGAUUGCGGAGCCCAAAGGAGUUUGACCCUGCCUGGAAAAAAUAAUACCCAAGCGCGACCAAGAGGCGUUUGUUACUUUGCCCCGCGACUGGUCAGUUUAUUCUCUGUAGCCCUAGAAGGCAUUGCUCAGUAGGGUUUUCCCUCAGGGCCUGUUUGGCUCUAGUCUAGUGUCUCCUUUUUGAUCACGUCUUCACUUGCCUGUAUCUCUUUCGCUUUCAAAAGUGGGAGACUUUGGAACAGGGAGGUUAACUGGUCCCAUGAAAACUGAAAUGCUUGAGGCCCCCUUACCCGGUGCAGGGGUGCCAAGCCAACUUGCAUUAAAUAUUGGGGAGGCCCAGGUAAGCCCCACCCUGCAGGAUUGAUCACAAGAUGUGAUACAUGCACACCAUUCAAAUGGGAAUGCUUUCCCACUUUGAGGGGAGGGAAGGCUCUGGCCCAAUCAAAUAUUUUAUGGAGGGGUGUGUGUGAAGGGACCUUGGCUCCUAAGAGUUGGCUCCUAUGGCCCCCACGCUUGGCAAAUCAUACACAAAGAUACACACACAAAAAAACUUUUCCACAGUUUAUUAUAUAAAUGCAUGAACAACUCUAUGUGUGCCCAUUGAGAAGUGAGCCCCACUCAGUGAGUCUUACUUCCAGGUAAAGGUGUAUAGGUUUGCAGUGUCGGGAAACUGCCUUCACAUGAAAAAUAAAAAUUGUCCUUGGGAUGGCUACUAUUAAUAUCAUCAGCAUUAGCAUAAUUAGUAGUACAGUAGUAGUAUUUCUAGUUCUGCCACAUAAGAAUACAGUGGUACCUCGGGUUACAGAUGCUUCAGGUUACAGACUCUGCUAACGCAGAAAUAGUACCUCAGGUUAAGAACUUUGCUUCAGGAUGAGAACAGAAAUCAUGUGGUGCCGGCAGUGGGAGGCCCCAUAAGUUAAAGUGGUACCUCAGGUUAAGAAUGGACCUCCAGAACAAAUUAAGUUCUUAACCCGAGAUACCACUGUAUCAAGUCUUAUUCUCCUGUAGUCUGCAAUUGGAUCAAAUCCAGUUUGUUUCAGUGAUUCCUCCUCACCCCCUGGGGGAGGUGGAAGAGAGAGAUAAUGUCAUGCUCUUGAGAAAUUUGCUAACAAACCAGUCUCUGACUGUGUUGGAAAGUAAGCCCCUCUAUUCAUUAGGACAUUUCCCCAGGUAAAUGUGCAGAUAGCUGCAGGGAUGUGGCCCUCUAGAUAUUGCUAUACUGUGGCUCCCAUCAUCCUUCACCAUUGGCCAGGCUGGCAGGGGUUGAAGGCAAUUGGAGUUCAGCAACACCCAGAGGACAAUAAGCUCCCCAACCCUGCUACAGUAUAAACAAAAGCAAGUCUGCAGCUCUUUCUAAGGACACUAGGUACCGGUAGUAAGGCCUAUUAAAUACAGCAGGUAGUAUUUCCAACAAUUGGGUUGGAUUUAAAGUUGGAUUCAAAGUGAAAGCAUUCUGAUUCACAGUGCACGUAGGCCAAAUUCUUUUAAGAACUAAAACUUAUUUCAAGGUUUUAGUCCCCAGAUGGCACUAAAUUGUUUUCAAAUCUAAAUACUUAAUCUGAACGACGGUAGUUUGAGCUGAGUUGCCAGGAAAGUCAUGUAUAAUCCAGUAAAUUUGAUUUAAUUCUGUUGUAGAUGGUGCUGCUCUGUUGGUUGGCAUCAGCACAGCUAACUCAGGUCAAUUCCAGUGUUUGUACUAUGCUGUUAGGCUACCUGAACCAACAUAGCUUCCAGAAAAAAAUUCAUUGAGAGGAUAUAUCAUUGUAAAGUUAGCUUGGAUGGAUUUAAUUGCAAUCAGAUUUUGAUCUCAAAGUCCCAUAGAUUUCCAUGGGAGACAGAAGCAAGUUUUAUUUUGAAAUCUUUAAGAAAAUAUUUUAGUUUUCUGUUAUGUUGCUUUGACUGUAUACUCUAUAUUAG